AAAGGUAGCAUAAUCAAUUGGCUUAUAAUUGAAGUCUGGUAUGAAUGGGAAAACGGAAAAUAACUAUCUUACCCAAGUUUACAAAAAUUACUUAUUGAGUGAAAAGUCUCAUAGAAAGAUAAUAGACGAGAAGACCCUAGAAAUUUUUAUAUAGUGUUUUUUAUUAUUCUAUUUUGUUGGGGCGACAUAGUUACAAAUAACUUACUAUAUAUAAUAUGCUAUUUAUUAGUCGAAAGAAUAAAUUACUCUAGGGAUAACAGCAUAAUUCAUUAUGAGUUUGUGACCUCGAUGUUGGACUAGGAAAUAUUUUACUUAGAAGGUAAAAUUAUUGGCUCUGUUCGAGCUAUAUCUCCUACAU
rnacentral:rRNA from 1 species